UAGAGUUUGAUUCCCAUGGCUCAGGACGAACGCUGGCGGCGUGCCUAAUACAUGCAAGUCGAGCGGACAGAAGGGAGCUUGCUCCCGGAUGUUAGCGGCGGACGGGUGAGUAACACGUGGGUAACCUGCCUGUAAGACUGGGAUAACUCCGGGAAACCGGAGCUAAUACCGGAUAGUUCCUUGAACCGCAUGGUUCAAGGAUGAAAGACGGUUUCGGCUGUCACUUACAGAUGGACCCGCGGCGCAUUAGCUAGUUGGUGAGGUAACGGCUCACCAAGGCGACGAUGCGUAGCCGACCUGAGAGGGUGAUCGGCCACACUGGGACUGAGACACGGCCCAGACUCCUACGGGAGGCAGCAGUAGGGAAUCUUCCGCAAUGGACGAAAGUCUGACGGAGCAACGCCGCGUGAGUGAUGAAGGUUUUCGGAUCGUAAAGCUCUGUUGUUAGGGAAGAACAAGUGCAAGAGUAACUGCUUGCACCU
rnacentral:rRNA from 1 species